GUAGUAUGUGUGUUUGUGUUUAACAGUCUCCAUAUUUAGCUCUUUGCACUACCUGUUGACUUUUGUAUGAGUUCUACAUUUCCUGCUACCCAAAGGUUGUCUGGAAGAGAUCGCUUUUUAGCGAUAAGACCGCCUGUGGUUCUAUUUUCCUUUAAAAUUUGUUUGUAGUUUUACAUGCAUGUAAAAUAUAUAAUUAUUGGUGCAAUAAAGAAUAUUUACUUACCUACUUACU